CAGAUGAGCCUAGGUCGGAUUAGCUAGUUGGUGAGGUAAUGGCUCACCAAGGCUACGAUCCGUAACUGGUCUGAGAGGAUGAUCAGGCACACUGGAACUGAGACACGGUCCAGACUCCUACGGGAGGCAGCAGUGGGGAAUAUUGGACAAUGGGCGAAAGCCUGAUCCAGACAGGCCGCGUGUGUGAAGAAGGUCUUCGGAUUGUAAAGCAAUUGAGUGGGAGGAAGGGCAUAACCUAAUACGUUAGGUUUGACG
rnacentral:rRNA from 1 species